rnacentral:sRNA from 1 species
GGACUCGGCUUGCUGGAGACGGCAAGAGGCGAGUCC